GUCCAGCUGACGAAUCCCAGAUAGGACGAAACCUGCGUCCUGGAU
rnacentral:hammerhead_ribozyme from 1 species